UAUUAUUUGCGGUUUGAUGAAAGACUUUCAUGGAUAUUCGAGACACGAAUAGUUAAGGAAGAGGAAAAGGAAAAGUUCAGGAAGACCCCCAAGUCACAAAGCCUUGGAAUUUCCCUGGGAGGCUCUCGGCAGUGGAUGGAGUCCUGCGACAGGUUCUGGCCGAUAGACGGUGAGUCGAUGUGCCAGGAGUCACCCUGAUAGGCUUCACCUGCCACGUCAACAUUGAGAGGCUUCGUCUCCAUGGUGGAGCCACCAGAGAGGAGCACCCUGCAUCCCUGAGCCCUGGUGAGCAUGAGACACCCCAGAGGACACUCAGAGCCAGAGGUAAGCCUUUCAAGGUGGACUCGC
rnacentral:lncRNA from 1 species